rnacentral:rRNA from 1 species
GAUGAACGCUGGCGGCGUGCCUAAUACAUGCAAGUCGAGCGAACAGAUGAGGAGCUUGCUCCUCUGACGUUAGCGGCUGACGGGUGAGUAACACGUGGAUAACCUACUUAUAAUACUGGGAUAACUUCGGGAAACCGGAGCCAAUACCGGAGAAUAUAUUGAACCGCAUGGUUCAAUAGUGAAUGACGGUUUUGCUGUCACUUAUAGAUGGAUCCGCGCCGCAUUAGCUAGUUGGUAAGGUAACGGCUUACCAAGGCAACGAUGCGUAGCCGACCUGAGAGGGUGAUCGGCCACACUGGAGCUGAGACACGGUCCAGACUCCUACGGGAGGCAGCAGUAGGGAAUCUUCCGCAAUGGGCGAAAGCCUGACGGAGCAACGCCGCGUGAGUGAUGAAGGUCUUCGGAUCGUAAAACUCUGUUAUUAGGGAAGAACAAAUGUGUAAGUAACUAUGCACGUCUUGACGGUACCUAAUCAGAAAGCCACGGCUAACUACGUG